rnacentral:rRNA from 1 species
ACGAACGCUGGCGGCGUGCUUAACACAUGCAAGUCGAACGGAAAGGCCCUGCUUUUGUGGGGUGCUCGAGUGGCGAACGGGUGAGUAACACGUGAGUAACCUGCCCUUGACUUUGGGAUAACUUCAGGAAACUGGGGCUAAUACCGGAUAGGAGCUCCUGCUGCAUGGUGGGGGUUGGAAAGUUUCGGCGGUUGGGGAUGGACUCGCGGCUUAUCAGCUUGUUGGUGGGGUAGUGGCUUACCAAGGCUUUGACGGGUAGCCGGCCUGAGAGGGUGACCGGCCACAUUGGGACUGAGAUACGGCCCAGACUCCUACGGGAGGCAGCAGUGGGGAAUAUUGCACAAUGGGCGGAAGCCUGAUGCAGCAACGCCGCGUGCGGGAUGACGGCCGUCGGGUUGUAAACCGCUUUCGCCUGUGACGAAGCGUGAGUGACGGUAAUGGGUAAAGAAGCACCGGCUAACUACGUG